rnacentral:rRNA from 1 species
GCUUACGGCCAUACCACCCUGAGCACGCCCGAUCUCGUCCGAUCUCGGAAGCUAAGCAGGGUCGGGCCUGGUUAGUACUUGGAUGGGAGAACGCCUGGGAAUACCAGGUGCUGUAAGCU